CCAGAGAGCUUCCCUCCUCCCUCUCCCCACCGCCACAUGAGGAUACAUAGAGAAGACGGCCUUCUGCAAACCAGGAAGCAACCUGUCACCAGACAUCGGAUUUGCUCGGGCAUUGAUCUUGGACUUCUCAGCCUCCAGAACAGUGAGGAUUGAGUGUGUGCUGUUUCAGCUACAAAACAGUCUAUGGCUCUCAGCUCAACUUCGUGUAACAGACAAGGACAAUGAAAUUCAGGGAGGUCACGGGACUUGUCCAAAGUUGCACACUUAGUAAGAACUGGAGGCGCGACUCCAACCUUUCCGCCCGCCAAAGCUCUUAUGACUAAACAGCAAAUCAUCUUACGAAGACCUGCUGGACUCAAUGGGGGUGUUUUCAGUGACAAUAGUCUAAGGAGUCACCAGAAUAAUGAGCGUUAUAAAGCACAGACAUCGCCAAAAGAAACAAGAGGCACAGGACCCUUCUGGGCUUUGAAGCCCUUCCACACCAGUUCAAAUCCAGCCCCGCCUUUAGUAACAGUCACACCGCUUGCACGUGUGUGAUUCUUGUCUGCUUCAUCCUCUCUGCCUCACUCGGAUAUUAGUGUCACAAGAACAGAUGCUGGCCAUUCUUAUUCAUCGUUGAAUUCUCGGCACUCCGCCCAGAGCCUGGCACGUAGCAGAUGUUCACCAAUAUCUCUUGAAUGUGCUUCUCCAUCAGAUCAGAGUCCUAACAGGAAACAGAUGGAGCGCUCAAAUUAGGG